rnacentral:SRP_RNA from 1 species
GCCGGGCGCAGUGGCACGCGCCUGUAGUCCCAGCUACUCGGGAGGCUGCGGCAGGAGGAUCGCUUGAGCCCAGGAGUUCUGGGCUGUAGUGCGCUAUGCUGAUCGGGUGUCCGCACUAAGUUCGGCAUCAAUAUGGUGACCUCCCGGGAGUGGGGGACCACCAGGUUGCCUAAGGAGAGGUGAACCGGCCCAGGUUGGAAACGGAGCAGGUCAGAGAGGAACACAAACCAUGAGACUCUUUACUCCAGGGAACAAACUGAGGGUUGCU